UACGAAGGGUGCAAGCGUUACUCGGAAUUACUGGGCGUAAAGCGUGCGUAGGUGGUGAGUUAAGUCUGUCGUGAAAGCCCCGGGCUCAACCUGGGAAUGGCGAUGGAUACUGGCUCGCUAGAGUGCGGUAGAGGAGAGUGGAAUUCCCGGUGUAGCAGUGAAAUGCGUAGAGAUCGGGAGGAACAUCAGUUGCGAAGGCGGCUCUCUGGGCAGUAACUGACGCUGAGGAGCGAAAGCGUGGGGAGCGAACAGG
rnacentral:rRNA from 1 species